rnacentral:rRNA from 1 species
GGAAUAUUGGUCAAUGGGCGUGAGCCUGAACCAGCCAAGUAGCGUGCAGGAUGACGGCCCUAUGGGUUGUAAACUGCUUUUAUGCGGGGAUAAAGUGCGGCACGUGUGCCGUUUUGUAGGUACCGCAUGAAUAAGGACCGGCUAAUUCCGUGCCAGCAGCCGCGGUAAUACGGAAGGUCCGGGCGUUAUCCGGAUUUAUUGGGUUUAAAGGGAGCGCAGGCGGCCUUUUAAGCGUGACGUGAAAUGUAGGCGCUCAACGUCUGAAUUGCGUCGCGAACUGUUAGGCUUGAGUAGACGGAAUGUCGGCGGAAUUCGUGGUGUAGCGGUGAAAUGCUUAGAUAUCACGAAGAACUCCGAUUGCGAAGGCAGCUGACAGCAGUUUUACUGACGCUCAUGCUCGAAAGUGCGGGUAUCGAACA